UCACAGAAAAUAUCUAUGAUUCAUUAUAUAGUGAGUAUAUGCUGAGAGAACAGGACGGAAAUAACUUCAAGCCCAUAAAGAGGUUUACUGAACUUUGUUAAAAUGGUUCUGGCGGUAGAGCACUUACCGCCACACUCAUGACUAGUGUUCAACUCUCGCGUUCCCCUUCUAAAUAUUUAAAAUGAAAAAGGGGAAAGCAGAAUUGUAGUCAUGCAAUCAAGUGCUUUUGAUGGAUAAGAUGAAGGCAGAAGACAAGCUAGCAUAUAUAAUGACAGGAAAGAUUCUCUUGUGUUGAUACCGAAGACAUUAUAGAAACAAAUAUGCAAUAUUUAUGUAUGAAACUAGACAUGUAUAUAUGACUACUUUGCAACUCUCAAACGAUGUAGUUUGAUCAUACGCAAAUAUGUAUUAUACCUAUACACAAGGUUGACCUCCAGCUGACUGACCAACAAAGCUUUCUUCUCCUCUAGCUGACUUCGAGUGCACAGGGCUCCUACCAAUGGGGCCUGGGAUGCCUAGAUGUAUGCAUAUCCCUAUUUCCACGACUUAAGUCA
rnacentral:lncRNA from 1 species